rnacentral:hammerhead_ribozyme from 1 species
GCACUACUGAUGAGUUGUAAACAAAACGAAACUCGAGUCUACUGC